GGGGGUAUAGCUCAGUGGUAGAGCUCAUGCUUAGCAUUCACGAGGUCCUGGGUUCAAUCCCCAGUACCUCCA
rnacentral:tRNA from 1 species